rnacentral:rRNA from 1 species
ACGGAAGGCAGCAGUGGGGAAUAUUGGGCAAUGGGCGAAAGCCUGACCCAGCAACGCCGCGUGAAGGAAGAAGGCCUUCGGGUUGUAAACUUCUUUUACCAGGGACGAGGGACGAGACGGUACCUGGAGAAAAAGCCACGGCUAACUACGUGCCAGCAGCCGCGGUAAUACGUAGGUGGCAAGCGUUGUCCGGAUUCACUGGGUGUAAAGGGCGUGUAGGCGGAACUGUAAGUCAGAUGUGAAAUCCCGGGGCUCAACCCCUGAACUGCAUUUGAAACUGCAGUCCUUGAGUAUCGGAGAGGCAAGCGGAAUUCCUAGUGUAGCGGUGAAAUGCGUAGAUAUUAGGAGGAACACCAGUGGCGAAGGCGGCUUGCUGGACGACAACUGACGCUGAGGCGCGAAAGCGUGGGGAGCAACCAGGAUUAGAUCCCCUGGUA